AAGGAGCUUUCAUGGGCCCUGUGCUCACCGUGUGGUGGGUGGGGGGUUGAUGCUGCUGCCGGGGUUUCCUGGUGGUGGUGCUUCUGUGGAAUGUUGACUGAAAUUUUGGGCGCACUGUUGGGGUUCUGGGGUAUCACGCACGUGUGUGUGGUGUCUGGCCGGCUCCUCGGCUGCGCGGGUCUUCGGGUUCGUGUGGUGGGUGUCUGGUGUGGUGGUUGAGAACUGUACAGUGGAUAUGAGCAUCUUUGUAGAAUUUUGUAUGUGUAUU
rnacentral:misc_RNA from 1 species